rnacentral:sRNA from 1 species
AGAGAUAGAGAGAGAGAGAAAGAGAGAGAGAAAGAGAGAGAAAUAUAAUUUAAGUGGCAUAAGGGAGAAAAAGACUAUGAAUAUGAUAAAGAACGAAAGACAAUAACUCACAGAGAAGGGAAGAGAAAAACGAAAUCAAAACUAAAGUAAUAUAGAUUUCCUACAAGAACAACAAAGCCAAAUUCUUAAAAUUCAAAUUUCGUGUUGAAAACAUACACACACACACACAAACCCUUAAAAAUUGCGUGAGUUUGAAAUAAAAACAAGACAUAAUGACAAUCUAAACAACUCAAUUGGGUUGAAAACAAAAGAUACAUUUGAAAAACGUUGUUAUUGCCGAUGGAAAAAAUAAUAAUAUAACUUGAUAUAUACGUGGUAGCGAUGUUUUCCAGGUAUUUACAAGACCGACCCGAAGAGGAGAUUUGAAUCACGAUCCGGAUCUAAAAUGUCUUCCUAUGAUAGAGCACUUGAAUGCAGAGUUCAGGGACUUAUGUCAUAUUGCACAGAGUCAAAACUAGUUAAUUAACACUUUAAAAAAAGACUAUACCAAACAAACACACAAGAUUAAAAUUUUGCAUAAAUAAUAGUUAUGAAGCCGAUUCUACUCCAAACCUAUACGCUAAAAGUUGUUGAUAACUGUCUGUAUUGACGAACACGUUCGUAUUAAUUAUCAUAUUAAUGUUCAGCCAUUUAUGUGAUACUCGAAGACGAUCAAGUAUUUAAGACAAGAGAUAAUCGUCCAUUUUCAAACACCUCGCUUUGGUUUACACGCACGAUAGAAAUCUAAGCCUAGAGGAAACAUUACUGAUUUCAUUUGACAACUGUUUGAGAAACUCAGAUACUCGACUCUUCCUCUGCUAUCAUGAGGCACCUACUUCUAAUGUCUCUUGUGGCCGUGAUGUACAUCUUCCUAGUCAGUGUCGUAGAGGCGCAACUGUUCCCUGGCUUUGGUGGUUCCAGUGAGCGUGGAAACAGAGCAGCAUGUCUACAGUGCCUCAUAGCCAAUGGCACGGGCUUUCCCUGUAUCAUUUGCUCCUUAGGCAGUAUCGCUGGCGACGAUUAAAGGUUCCCACGAAAAAACACCAAACAUAUAACAUGGUAUUCGUGGAGUACCCCGAGAAAUGACAAUAACUCUGUCUAUCUAGUUUAAAAGUUAAAAUGCGGUGAAUAAGCGCUUCCAUAACAGUGAUGAGUUGCAUAUGAUGUAUAAGAAUGAACAAGAGAAAUAACAAUGAUUCUGUUUAUCAAGUUAAUGUGUUUAAAUGCCGUGAAGAAGUGCUUCCAUAAAUGUGCUGAGUGAGAUGUGCUUAACACUAAGAAUGUACAUAUGUAUCUCAGACAAAGACUCCUAAAGAGAUUUGAACAAAAUAAACUAAAUGCUUAAAAAA